ACGGGUGAGUAAUACAUCGGAACGUAUCCUGGAGUGGGGGAUAGCCCGGCGAAAGCCGGAUUAAUACCGCAUACGCUCUGAGGAGGAAAGCGGGGGACCUUCGGGCCUCGCGCUCAAGGGGCGGCCGAUGGCGGAUUAGGUAGUUGGUGGGGUAAAGGCCUACCAAGCCGACGAUCCGUAGCUGGUCUGAGAGGACGACCAGCCACACUGGGACUGAGACACGGCCCAGACUCCUACGGGAGGCAGCAGUGGGGAAUUUUGGACAAUGGGGGCAACCCUGAUCCAGCAAUGCCGCGUGUGUGAAGAAGGCCUUCGGGUUGUAAAGCACUUUUGUCCGGAAAGAAAUCAUCGGGGCCAAUACCCCUGGUGGAUGACGGUACCGGAAGAAUAAGCACCGGCUAACUACGUGCCAGCAGCCGCGGUAAUACGUAGGGUGCGAGCGUUAAUCGGAAUUACUGGGCGUAAAGCGUGCGCAGGCGGUGCUGUAAGACCGAUGUGAAAUCCCCGGGCUUAACCUGGGAACUGCAUUGGUGACUGCAGCGCUGGAGUAUGGCAGAGGGGGGUGGAAUUCCACGUGUAGCAGUGAA
rnacentral:rRNA from 1 species